rnacentral:rRNA from 1 species
UACGUAGGGGGCAAGCGUUAUCCGGAUUUACUGGGUGUAAAGGGAGCGUAGACGGCAUGGCAAGCCAGAUGUGAAAGCCCGGGGCUCAACCCCGGGACUGCAUUUGGAACUGUCAGGCUAGAGUGUCGGAGAGGGAAGCGGAAUUCCUAGUGUAGCGGUGAAAUGCGUAGAUAUUAGGAGGAACACCAGUGGCGAAGGCGGCUUUCUGGACGAUGACUGACGUUGAGGCUCGAAAGCGUGGGGAGCAAACAGG